rnacentral:rRNA from 1 species
GAUCAUGGCUCAGGACGAACGCUGGCGGCGCGCCUAACACAUGCAAGUCGAACGAGGGAGAGGAAGCUUGCUUCCUCAAUCGAGUGGCGAACGGGUGAGUAACGCGUGAGGAACCUGCCUCAAAGAGGGGGACAACAGUUGGAAACGACUGCUAAUACCGCAUAAGCCCACGGGUCGGCAUCGACCAGAGGGAAAAGGAGCAAUCCGCUUUGAGAUGGCCUCGCGUCCGAUUAGCUAGUUGGUG